rnacentral:rRNA from 1 species
AUUGAACGCUGGCGGCAGGCCUAACACAUGCAAGUCGAGCGAGCGGCGGACGGGUGAGUAAUGUCUGGGAAACUGCCUGCUGGAGGGGGAUAACUUCUUGGAACGGUAGCUAAUUCCGCCUACCAUCGGAUGUGCCCGGAUGGGAUUAGCGUGUAGGUGGGGUAACGGCUCACCUAGGCGACGAUCCGUAGCUGGUCUGAGAGGAUGACCAGCCACACUGGAACUGAGACACGGCCCAGACUCCUACGGGAGGCAGCAGUGGGGAAUAUUGCACAAUGGGCGCAAGCCUGAUGCAGCCAUGCCGCGUGUAUGAAGAAGGCCUUCGGGUUGUAAAGUACUGUCAGCGGGGAGGCGUUACCCGAAGAAGAAGCACCGGCUAACUCCGUGCCAGCAGCCGCGGUAAUUC